UCUGCUGCGUACCGUCCCGAACCCCAGGAGCCGAGAUCCCACCCGCAGGACCCCAAAACCCAAUGAUCCUGCAGCAGCCCUUGGAGCGAGGCCCCCAGGGAGGGGCCCAGCGCCUCCCACGGGCCGCCUUGGGGGUGACUCGGGGCCUGGACGCCAGCUCCCCUCUCCGAGGAGCUGUGCCCAUGAGCACCAAGCGGCGCCUGGAGGAGGAGCAGUGAGUUUGGGGGCAGGGAGGGACUCCCAACAAGAUCUCUGUCACCUCUGGUUCCCAACAGGCUGCCUCCUGUCUCAAUAUCCCAGCCUGCCUCUCUCCCAUCUCUCCCCAGGGAGCCUCUGCGCAAGCAGUUUCUGUCUGAGGAGAACAUGGCCACCCACUUCUCUCAACUCAGCCUGCACAAUGACCACCCCUACUGCAGCCCCCCCAUGACCUUCUCCCCAGCCCUGCCCCCGCUCAGGAGCCCUUGCUCUGAGCUGCUUCUCUGGCGCUAUCCUGGCAGCCUCAUCCCUGAGGCCCUCCGUCUGCUGAGGCUGGGGGACACCCCCAGUCCCCCUUACCCUGCAACCCCAGCUGGGGACAUAAUGGAGCUCUGAGUGCUGGUGGACAGUGCCCCUCCCACCUUCCUUCUUCCCCACAACAGAAGAGACCAGCGACUCCCGCAAAGGGACAAGGUUCCUCCCUUUCCUGCAGACCAGGCAUCUGGGCACCAAGACCUUCCCUCAACAGAGGACACUGAGCCCAACGGAGUUCUGGGAUGGGAGAGGUGGGAGCAUGGGAAGGGAGGCAUCCCACCCCCAAGAAGAACUGAAUAAAGAUCACUGAGCAAAGGA
rnacentral:sRNA from 1 species